rnacentral:lncRNA from 1 species
AAUUUUCAGUUCUUACCAACUAUAGGUAAUGAUCAUCCAAAAGCCGCGUCCUGUUUGAUGGCUGGUUUACUCAAGUGUCAUGUAGUGUUUUAAAAGACGAUUUGUGUAAGUAGAUCAUUCUAGUACUUUCGAUUUCAGUGUGUUGAAUUUCUGAGUAAUGUCAGUUUUUCCUCAUAAUACAGACAAAAUUAUUAUUUAUUAACCAGAUUGUUUAUUAAUCAGGACUGUACUGUACAUGCCACAAUAUUUCUUAACUAAAUACGAGUGCAUACAUUCUCGCUGACAUAACUAUUAUUAUACAAGUACAGUUUGUGCAUUGUAAAAAAGGUGUAAAAAUCAGAAGAGCAAUUUAAAAAGUCAUGGUGAUAUCAACACCCAGAUAUAAUCAGUAUUUUCAUUUUACAGCAUCUUCCUAACAUUUUUAUUUUGUAUUACUAAUUUCCUGUUUUGUGAUAUUCACUAGUCCAGCAUUUUCGAAGGAUUGAAGUAUGAUAGAAUACACAUCCACACUUAUUAGAUAAUAAUAUAUUUCCCUUCAAUAAUGCAUUAAUUUUAAUCAGACACAAACAUUUUAAUGGUGGCUGAGAUUAUUAGCAUCCAAUGUCUUACUCUGCAUGUGUGAUUAAAUCAGAAAGAGAACGAAAACUAGGGGAAAUAAAAUAAACAAUAUAAAUUUAAAGGUUCAUAAUUAUCAAACAAGGAACCGAAGCAAAAGAAGACUCUGUGACUUAUCUUAUUACUAUUCAGAUCUAGUAAAAAUCAUGUCUCAGAAGGUAGUUCAGUGAUACUUAGUAAAAGUCUUAUAUACUGCAUUAAAAUAAUAGUGUUUAAUCUAUUUUUACUUUAUGUAACAGACUAUAGUUAAUUAUUUUUAAGUAAGCUGGGCCUUGCCUUCCUCUAAUGUUUCUCAUGAAUUAGGAUAUUUUUAUAAAAGACAAUUUUAAGGACGCAAGCCCACUGAAAGUAAACUGUUGAGAACCAAUUUGACUUUUGUUUGUUGUGUGUUGGUUCUAGAAUGAACUGUUGGAAGACAGAUAAAAGACCAAGUCUGGCCUCUUGAAGCUUAGUCAAGGGGCAGAUAAUACUAACUAGGCCAACAAUUACAAUACAAGGUAAUCUGUGAAGAUUAGCAUGUUUUGAGACUUCAGAGUAGAGCAGUAAACUCCAGUUGGAUUUUAAGAGGGACUAGGGAUAGAUAGGAAUUGGGGACAUUUAACGGGAGCAGAAAGAAGUCUUCUAGGGAGGAGAAAAGGACAAUUCAGAAGGACAGCAAAUUUCAAGGACUUGGGACCUUGAAGGAGCCCAGGGCACUGGUAGGACUACUGACAGAUAAGUGGGCUGUGUUGUGUGUGACCUGUAUAUUGGGAGGGGGUAAGGGAAGAGGCUGGAGAGAAAGGCUGGGGCUCUGUUAUGAAUGAUACUGUAUAAUACUCAAAGGAAAUUGGCUUUUCUCCUGAAAGAGAUGGAUUCAUUAAGGAAAUUUAGAUUGUGACUUCAAUGUUCGUUUUCAUGAACAUCACUGUUCACUAAAAUCAAAACGAGAAAUAUGUUUGGAGAAGGCGUUAACUAGAUUAGUAAAUGUUGAUUCUUAUUAGCUUAUCAGCUAAAAUAUUGCAUAGUGGCAAGGAAGAGCAAAUAGCUUGGCUGGAAUGUAGGUUUCAUUUAUAUCAGGAAAAUCAGGCUGUGGAGUCUAGAAACUCCUACGUAGGUUUUACCUAGGAGUGUGACUAAUGGAAUAGAGAAGUUUAAUAGCACCAGCACAUUUCAGAAGGCUGCUGAAUAGUAGACAGUUGCAAAUACAUUAUAUUGAGGGAUCUGCUAACAGGAUGUACUCUGAACAAGAAAACAUUGCAGAAACAAUCUACAUGUAUAUCAUAGCUCCAGGAUUACUGUUCAGGGGGUCAUUUAUGUUUAUAACCUUCAAAAAUUCAAAGCUCUUACGUUAUUUGAUCAUGCUUAUUUUCAUGGGAAUCAGUGCUUUUAUUCCUAUUUAAAUGGCUAAAGUUGUUAUGCAUUGGGAGAUGGGUUUCUUAUUCUGCCUUUACGUUAUAAAAACAACAAAAUGAUAUAUUUGUUGUCUUCUCAAGUAUUUAUCCUUAUCCCUUAAAAUUAACAUCUGCCAAAUAAUUUUACCAAAGAAAAACAGGCAAAUCCAGAAUAUCUUCUUAUCUAGUGAAGGCCAUUGCUUAAAUAUGUCCACUCCAUAAAUCAAGUAAAUAACAACCCCAAGAUAUUUUCUUUUUUCACACUGAAUGCAUCCUGAAAACACGAAAUUAGGUACACCCUUUGUUGUUCUCAUAUACUGUUUAUGUGACACAUAUAAGUGAAAAUGGAUUAUGCUCUUAUAUACACAUUAAUCUCAAAAAAGACUUUUGUGCUUUUAGAAUUCACAGGCAAUGUGCAAAUUCUUGAUGAGCAUGUCUACAUUUUCUACUUAUUUUUGUGGUUGUAGUUUUGAGAUGGAGUCUAGCUCUGUCCCCUGGGCUGGAGUGCAAUGGUGCGAUCAUAGCUCACUUCAGUCUCAAAAUCCUGGGCUCAAGAGAUUGUCCCACCUCAGCCUACCGAGCAGCUAGAACCGCAGGUGCAUGUCACCAUGUCCAGCUAAUUUUUAUUUUUACUUUUAUUUUUUGUAGAGAUGUGGUCUCCCUGUAUUGCCCAGUCUGGCCUAGAACUCCUGGCCUCAACUGAUCCUCCUGACUCAGUCUCUCAAAGUGCUGGGAUUACAGGCAUGAGCCACCACACUGGCAAAUGUCUACAUUUUUUAAAACAAAUUAAACAUAAAGAGCUCAUAAAGAAUAGUCAAAGUUUAUUUGUGGAAAAAUAUAAGACUGAUCUAUAAGCUUUUAAUUCCACUAUAAUUUGUGAAUGUAAACCUCUCUUUAAGAUAAAAGCAGAUUCUAGCAUCAUGAGGUACCUGAGGGCUCUAGUUAGUUACCAAGAUGGGAAAUGUGCCUGGGGCUUUCUGUAAUUGCAUUUCCACCUUGAUUUGAUAGGGUUGAUUUGGCAAACUAGCAUUUUCUCUCUAUCUGUGUACUUCCACCAUGCUCCAGCUCAGUGAUUUUCUAAUGUUGGUGGGCAGAGAAUCAAGUAGAGACUUAGUCAACUUGGGCCCCUCUCCAGAGACCUGCCUCAGUAGAACUAGGCUGGGGUCCAAGGAAACUAUUUUUAACAAGAACCCCUUAGUAACUUUUUCUAACCUAAGAACGCUUCUACCUACAGUAUUGGCACUGCUGGAUAGAGUGGCCGGUGUGAGUCAAAUGAGGGUGCAUGCUCUAAAUUCUAAACCAGUAUCAAGAUUCAUCUGUGGAGAAUAUAGUGUUAAAUAAUGUUAUUUGUGAUUAAGCAUUAGCGUGUAUAGAAUUAAGUCAUGAACACUUUUCAUAGAAUGCAAACAAUGUAUACCCCACAUGACAUUAAAAAUCUAUGUCAUCAUUGUCAUCAUCAAAAUUACUAUUUGACAAACUCUUUUAAGAACGUGUGUACAUACACACCAUUUGCAAGCAACAAAAGUGACAGAGGGAAAACGCUUCACUCAAGAUACACAGAACGAGGCCCAUAUGGAGAAAUGGACAGAAGUUACUGACAAAUAAAAUAAAAGAUUUGAACAGUAAGAAAAAUCUGCCUGUGUCUACACAGAAAGUUGGCUAUUAUAAAGAUGAAAAUUCUCCCUAAAUCAAGUUACAUAUUCCUGAAAACAAAACGUGAUUAUUUUUCCUGAAAGAAACUAUCCUCCAAAACAGAGGGAGCCAUUUUAUAUUUGACUUCUUACAAAAUCUCUCAUAACGUGGGGGCCUCUCUCUAUUUUAUUUCAAACUUCAUUUUGGGAAGACACAAAGGCUCUUGAAAUGAGAGCCACCAAUGUUUGUUUUAGAUGCUUAUAAAGCUUACCUCAUGGAGCUGUUAACAUAGCAAAAUAAAUUUUUUAACAAAGGAAAAUUUGGUAACUAUUUCUGGGGUAAAGAUUUUACAAUAGCAAGUAUUAUCACUAGACAUUACUUUAAAUGUGGAUUUUUUUAAAUCAUGGUAGAAAACAAUAUAAAAAGUGUUCAUGUGGCAGUUGUUAAGAAUACACAUCUUCAGGGUUUUUUAAUAUAAAAAGGGGAAAGAACAGUCUCAUUAUUAUAUGCAUAGUUUCUCUGAUUUGGUACAAAAUUUCCCAGUGAUGUCAUUGUGGAAUGAUCCAAGUGUUGCCUGUCAGCAGAGAUAGGAGUGAAGUUGAUGAUGAUGGUUAGAUGGCCUCACAAGGGACUCUAGUGAUAGUAAAGGUUCCAGUGGCAAACACACAAGUGAAAAGUUUGAAUAUAGUUUCAUAAUGUUUGAGAGUGUAAAAAAUGCAUUUUUAAAUUAAUGCAUUACUUUCUGUACUAUUUUAAAUAAGUGUGUAUCUAAAUAAACACAUAAAAUGUUAUGAGUAAACAUUAGGCUAUUUAAUUUCAUUUCAUCCUUAAAUUUGGGAAGUACAAACCAACAGGGCGUGGUGGCUCAAGCCUGUCAUCCCAGCACUUUGGGAAGCCAAGGCGGGUGGGUGGAUCACAUGAGGCAAGGAGUUCAAGACUAGCCUCGCCAACAUAGUGAAACCCUGUCUCUAUUAAAAAUACAAAAAUUAGCCGGGUAUGGUGGGGC